rnacentral:misc_RNA from 1 species
AAGUCGUAACAAGGUUUCCGUAGGUGAACCUGCGGAAGGAUCAUCAACAAAUCUAACUUAUUAUGCCUUUUUGGCAUAAUAUAUACCAAUGUGAAUUGAAAAACGCAAGUUUUUCUAUUAAUUUUUGUUUUCGGACAAAAAUAUUAACGAGUUUUAAUAGAGUCUGUUAAAAAAAUAUAAUUAAAAACAACUUUUAACAAUGGAUCUCUUGGCUCUU